AUGGCCACUCUAGGGCCUUUGUUUUCUGCUAUUGCCUGUGGGGUUUUCUGAGCAUUUCAGGCUGGUCCUCGGGACAUGUUCCAAGGGGACCUGGGCGGACUGGCCAGGAGGGGACGGGCACUGGGGUGCCUUGGGGAUCUGGGAGCCUCUGUGGAUUUUCCGAUGCCUUUGGAAAAUGGGACUUAGGUUGGAUGUGUCUGAUGGAGUUACUGAGCCUGGGGGCUUGGGGAGCCACAUUUGGACGAGAUGCCAGAGCAAACCAGGGGUCUUAGUGAUGGCUGAGGAACGUGUCUCAGGUGCGGUGUCUAGGACUGCAAGAUCGCUGCACACACAGCGAAUCAUGAAACAUUUUCCUUAGAAUUAUGAGGUGCGCUGUGUGCCAACCUGCAUCUUAAAUUCUUUGUUGGCUGGAAAGAGAACUGUCAGAGUGGGUGAAUCCAGCCAGGACGGAUGUGUAGCCUUGGUCUUGAUGAGAGCAGGGUCGGGGCACGGGUAGUCCAGAAAGGGUGGCUGCUGUCCUGACAGAGGCUUAGGGAGGCCCCAGGAGCUCAGUGCCCUGAAGUUGGUUUCCAAGAGAAAAGGAUUGUUCAUCUUAAGAGUCGUGCUUAUUAAAUGUUAAAAGACAGGAUAUGUUUGAAGUGGCUCCAGAGAAAAAUGGUUAAGACAAUUAUGACUUAAAAGUGUGAAAGAUUUUGAAGUAUAUUAAUUUUUUUAACUGUCCAAGUAUUUGAAAUUCUUAUCAUUUGAUUAACACCCAUGAGUGGUAUGUCUCUGGAACUAGGGCCAAAGUAAGUUUAGCUAAGAAAUACUAGCACAGUGCUGUCGGCUCUGAUGCAGGACUGAGUUUUGAGCAUCAUAAAUCAAGUUUAUUUUUUUAAUUAAUUGAGUGAAGCUGGGAGCGGAUGAUGAGUUAGAGUCAAGAUGGCUGCAUGGGGGUCUUGGGCACCCACAGCAGGUGGCAGGAAGCAGGUCACCGCAAGAGUCUAUUUUAGGAAGCAAAAAAACACAAUUGGUAAAUUUAUCACUUCUGGUUGUGAAGAGGUGGUUUCGCCUGGGCCCAGAUCUGAAAGUGCUCUACUGAGCAAAACAACACCUGGACGAUUUGCGUUUCUAAAAUAAGGCGAGGCUGACCGAAACUGGAAAGGCUCUUUUUUUUUUUUAACUAUCCGAAUUUCAUUUCCAAUCUUAGCUUAUCAACUGCUAGUUUGUGCAAACAGGAUAUCAACUUCUAAACUGCAUUCAUUUUUACAGUAAGAUGUUUAAGAAAUUAAACAGUCUUAGGGAGAGUUUAUGACUACAUUCAAAAAACUUUUAAAAUUAGUCUGUUAUCCCUUCAUGUGAUAAUUAAUCUCAAACACGUUUUCAAUACCUCAGAGCAUUAUUUUUAUAAUAACUAUGUUCACAAUCUUUUUUGGUUAACUCGUUUUCUCUGUGAUUAAGGAGAAACACUUUGAUAUUCUGAUAGAGUGGCCUUCAUUUUAGUUGUUUUUCAAGACCACUUUUCAACUACUCACUUUAGGAUAAGUUUUAGGUAAAAUAUGCACCGUUAUCCUGAAUUAUUUCAGUUAAACAUGUUAGUUUGUGGCUUAAGAGAAAACUCAGUCAGACAGUGCUGAAGACAGCGCUGUGGAGACACCUUAGAAGGACGGGUUCUGUUCGGAAUCACCGAUUCGGCUUCAGCCAGGCUGGCCUAGCGGAGGCUCUGGGAGGCUGCCUGCCAGGCCCGGGCUGGGCUUUGGGUCUCCCCGGACUACCCAGAGCUGGGAUGAGUGGCUUCUGCCACCAGGCCAACUGGCUGCUCAGGACCCAGCCCUUGUUAAUGGACUUGGAGGAACGAUUCCAUGCCAAAGCCUUGCAGGGCUCGCAGUGACUACACACCCGACAUGCAUCCACCAAGGCUCCGGAUGUGUUCCCCAUCACAUCAGCGUGCCAACUCCCAAAGGAUAACAGCCCUGUGGUCCUGGCAUGCUUGAUAACUGGGUACAACCCAAAGUCCGUGACUGUCACCUGGCACCUGGGGACACAGAUCCAGAACCAGAUUAUGUUCCCUGAGACAGAGAGAGAGGGCAGCUACAUGACAAGCAGCCAGCUCGCCCCCACCCCACCCCUCUCCCAACAGCACCAAGGCGAGUACAAAUGCACCGUCAAGCACAUCCCCAGCGAUACAAACAAGGCGAAGACCUUCCGCUGGCCAGAGUCUCCAAAGGCACAGUACCCCUCAGUGCCCACUGUACAGCCCCAAGCAGAGGGCGGCCUCUCCAAGGCAACCAGACCCCCGGCCACCAACAGGAACACAGGAAGAAGAGAAAAGGAGGACGAGGAGGAGAAACAACAACAAGAGGGAGAGACAAAGACCCCAGAGUGUCCAAGCCACACCCAGCCUCUCGGCGUCUACCUGCUGCCCCCGGCCCUGCAGGACCUGUGGUUCCGAGACAAAGUCACCUUCACCUGCUUCGUGGUGGGCAGUGACCUGCAGGAUGCCCACCUGUCCUGGGAGGUGGCCGGGAAGGUCCCCAAAGGGGGCAUGGAGGAGGGGCCGCUGGAGCAGCACAGCAACGGCUCCCAGAGCCAGCACAGCCGCCUGGCCCUACCCAGGUCCUUGUGGAAUGCGGGGACCUCCGUCACCUGCACACUGAACCAUCCCAGCCUCCCAUCCCAGAAGCUGAUGGCGCUGAGAGAACCCGCUGCCCAGGCACCCGUCAGGCUUUCCCUGAACCUGUUGGCCUCGUCUGACCCUCCGGAAGCAGCCUCAUGGCUCCUGUGUGAGGUGUCUGACUUCUCGCCCCCCAACAUCCUCCUGAUGUGGCUGGAGGACCAGCGCGAGGUGAACACUUCUUGGUUUGCCACCACGCACCCCACUCCACAGCCCGGGAGCACCAUGUUCUGGGCCUGGAGUGUGCUGCGUGUCCCAGGCCCGACCAGCCCUCAACCAGCCACCUACACGUGUGUGGUCAGCCACGAGGACUCCAGGACUCUACUCAAUGCCAGCCGGAGCCUGGAUGUCAGCUACCUGGCCACAACCCCCCAGAUCCCUCAGAGCAAGGAUGAGAACAGCGAUGACUACACGACCUUGGAUGACAUGGGCAGCCUGUGGACCACCCUGUCCACGUUCGUGGCCCUCUUCGUCCUCACCCUCCUCUAUAGCGGCAUUGUCACUUUCAUCAAGGUGAAGUAGCCCUAGAAGAGCAGGACGCCCUGUACCUGCAGAAAAGGGAAGCAGCCUCUGUGCCUCAUCCGUGGAUGCCAGAGAGCAGAAAGGACCCACCCUGGACUCUGCUGUACGCAGGAAAAUGCACCAGCCCCUGCCUCCAGCUCCCCUCUGUCCGCCACAGAACGCAGUCUUCUAGACCAGGGGAACGGGCACCCAUCACUCCGCAGGUGAAGCGGAGCACCCCUGCCCUGGCCCUAACCCCUGUGCCUCCUUCCUGUGCUUCCCCCAGAGCCAGCUAGUCCCAUCUGCACCCCCCGGCCUCCCCAUAAACACGCUUUGGUUCAUUUCA